GUGUGCGUUGUAGCAAAGGAGAUCAAAUGGUUGUACCAUCCCCUUGUUACAAACCUCACUU
rnacentral:pre_miRNA from 1 species